CGAACGGGUGAGUAACACGUAAAUAAUCUACCUCUAAGUUCGGGAUAACCUUGCCAACGCGGGGCUAAUACCGGAUGUGGUCACGAAAACGCAUGUUUUCGUGAUUAAAGGUGCAAGUCGCUUAGAGAUGAGUUUGCGGCCCAUUAUGCUUGUUGGUAGGGUAACGGCCUACCAAGGCUGCGAUGGGUAGCCGGCCUGAGAGGGUGAACGGCCACAUUGGGACUGAGAUACGGCCCAGACUCCUACGGGAGGCAGCAGUAGGGAAUUUUUGCGCAAUGGGCGAAAGCCCUGACGCAGCAACCGCCCGCGUGAAGGAUGAAGGUUUUUUCGGAAUUGUAAACUUUCCUGUUUAAGUGGGAAGAAAAAGCCCAGCAAUGGUAUUGACGGUACCCACUUUGAGUAAGCACCCGGCUAACUACGUGCCCAGCAGCCCGCGGUAAUACGUAGGGUGCAAAGCGUUUGUUCGGGAAUCACUGGGCGUAAAGGGAGUGUAGGCGGAAUUUAUAAGUUUAGGGAGUUUUAAUACACGGGCUCAACCCCGUGGGUCUGCUCUUAAUACUGUAGUUUCUUUGAGUAUGGGGAGAANGGGUGGAUGGAAUUCCCAGUNGUAGCGGUGGGAAUGCGUAGAUUAUCUGGAAAGAACACCAGUAGCGAAGGCGGUCGCCUGGCCCAAUACUGACGCUGAGGCUCGAAAGCUAGGGGAGCAAACAGGAUUAGAUACC
rnacentral:rRNA from 1 species